rnacentral:rRNA from 1 species
AUUGAACGCUGGCGGCAGGCUUAACACAUGCAAGUCGAGCGGAGAUGAGGUGCUUGCACCUUAUCUUAGCGGCGGACGGGUGAGUAAUGCUUAGGAAUCUGCCUAUUAGUGGGGGACAACAUUCCGAAAGGAAUGCUAAUACCGCAUACGCCCUACGGGGGAAAGCAGGGGAUCUUCGGACCUUGCGCUAAUAGAUGAGCCUAAGUCGGAUUAGCUAGUUGGGGGGGUAAAGGACUACCAAGGCGACGAUCUGUAGCGGGUCUGAGAGGAUGAUCCACCACACUGGGACUGAGACACGGCCCAGACUCCUACGGGAGGCAGCAGUGGGGAAUAUUGGACAAUGGGCGGAAGCCUGAUCCAGCCAUGCCGCGUGUGUGAAGAAGGCCUUUUGGUUGUAAAGCACUUUAAGCGAGGAGGAGGCUACCUGGAUUAAUACUCUAGGAUAGUGGACGUUACUCGCAGAAUAAGCACCGGCUAACUCUGUGCCAGCCGCCGCCGUAAUAC